AUUUCACUAUGUAGAUCCUUCUUUAGGAUGUGAUAGUUUGAGUAGAACUUAAAAGAUGGAAAUAGUUAACUCCAAUUUCACUAUAUAGAAGCUCUUUUAGGAUGCGGUGGUAAUGGACUCGUUGGCUUGGUUUUGACAUUAAUAUAUGCCUGUUUGAUGAGUUGGUUUGUGAUUUAGGGUUUAUCGAGAGUGUUUCAUUUAUUGAUUCGUUCCUCUGUUCUGUACCGCGGUGAAUUAAAGGAGUAACUAGAACUACCAUAUGUACUAGUUUGUUUUACUCGUCAAAUGAACAAGCUCAAUUAACUUUGCAUUCUGGUAGUUUUAGUUAGGAAUAGAUGGGGCAAGGAAAGGGGCAAUUGCUAAUAGCCAGAAUGAGCGCCUCAGGACAGUUGUAGUUUGAAACAGAUGAGUACUUCAUGCAUAAUUUAGCCAAUCUAAAGUUCAUAUUUGUAACUUGUUAAACUGACUUCUGAAUGCCUCUGAUAUUUGUCUGCAGCAUAGCAUCAUAGAGAUGCAUGGAUCUCCAUCCCUGCAUCACAUGUGUUUCAGCUUUCACGACCUGUUAGUAUAUUCUUAAUUGCUAGGUUGAAGUGAUAGUACUGAUGAAGAGAGAGAUGACUUAUUUGGGAUAAGUUGUGUAGACUAUAUAUGGUAAGCAUGCAUUAACGCCU
rnacentral:sRNA from 1 species